GACGAACGCUGGCGGCGUGCUUAACACAUGCAAGUCGAACGGAAAGGCCCUGCUUUUGUGGGGUGCUCGAGUGGCGAACGGGUGAGUAACACGUGAGUAACCUGCCCUUGACUUUGGGAUAACUUCAGGAAACUGGGGCUAAUACCGGAUAGGAGCUCCUGCUGCAUGGUGGGGGUUGGAAAGUUUCGGCGGUUGGGGAUGGACUCGCGGCUUAUCAGCUUGUUGGUGGGGUAGGGGCUUACCAAGGCUUUGACGGGUAGCCGGCCUGAGAGGGUGACCGGCCACAUUGGGACUGAGAUACGGCCCAGACUCCUACGGGAGGCAGCAGUGGGGAAUAUUGCACAAUGGGCGGAAGCCUGAUGCAGCAACGCCGCGUGCGGGAUGACGGCCUUCGGGUUGUAAACCGCUUUCGCCUGUGACGAAGCGUGAGUGACGGUAAUGGGUAAAGAAGCACCGGCUAACUACGUU
rnacentral:rRNA from 1 species